rnacentral:rRNA from 1 species
AAUAGAUACCCUGGUAGUCCACGCCGUAAACGUUGGGCGCUAGAUGUGGGGACCUUUCCACGGUUUCCGUGUCGUAGCUAACGCAUUAAGCGCCCCGCCUGGGGAGUACGGCCGCAAGGCUAAAACUCAAAGGAAUUGACGGGGGCCCGCACAAGCGGCGGAGCAUGCGGAUUAAUUCGAUGCAACGCGAAGAACCUUACCAAGGCUUGACAUAUACGAGAACGCCCCAGAGAUGGGGAACUCUUUGGACACUCGUAUACAGGUGGUGCAUGGUUGUCGUCAGCUCGUGUCGUGAGAUGUUGGGUUAAGUCCCGCAACGAGCGCAACCCUCGUCGCAUGUUGCCAGCACGUUAUGGUGGGGACUCAUGUGAGACUGCCGGGGUCAACUCGGAGGAAGGUGGGGAUGACGUCAAAUCAUCAUGCCCCUUAUGUCUUGGGCUUCACGCAUGCUACAAUGGCCGGUACAAAGGGCUGCGAUGUCGCGAGGUGGAGCGAAUCCCUUAAAGCGCGUCUCGGUUCGGAUUGC